CCCUUAGAUGUUCUGGGCCGCACGCGUGCUACACUGAGUGGAUCAGCGGGUCAGGUUGCGCGAAAGUGUUUCCUAAUCUUGAAAUCCGCUCGUGAUGGGGAUUGACGGUUGCAAUUUUCCGUCAUGAACGAGGAAUACCUUGUAAGCGCGGGUCAUCAUCCCGCGCUGAAUACGUCCCUGCCCUUUGUACACACCGCCCGUCGCUCCUACCGAUUGAGUGGUCCGGUGAGGCUUUGGGAUCUGAGCGGAAAGAGCGUUUCGCUGUUUCUGCUCGGAAAACUCAUUCGAACCUUAUCAUUUAGAGGAAGGAGAAGUCGUAACA
rnacentral:rRNA from 1 species